rnacentral:rRNA from 1 species
UUCCGGUUGAUCCUGCGGACCCCACUGCUAUCGGGGUGGGACUAAGCCAUGCAAGUCGAAGGUCCCCGGCUCCGGGGGCCUGGCAGACGGCUCAGUAACACGUGGCCAACCUGCCCUCGGGAGGGGGAUAACCCCGGGAAACUGGGGUUAAACCCCCCAUAGGCGGCGGGAUCUGGAAGGACCCGCCGCUGAAAGUGGUGCACGGGGAUGCUCCGUGCACCAGCCCGAGGAUGGGGCUGCGGCCCAUCAUGGUUGUUGGCGGGGUAACGGCCCGCCAAGCCUAUAACGGGUACGGGCCCUGGGAGGGGGAGCCCGGAGAUGGGCUCUGAGACAAGAGCCCCAGGCCCUACGGGGCGCAGCAGGCGCGAAACCUCCCCAAUGCCCGAAAGGGUGAGGGGGCCACCCCGAGUGCCACCCUCGUGGUGGCUUUUGCCGGGUCUAAAAAGCCCGGCGAAUAAGGGGGGGGCAAGACGGGUGUCAGCCGCCGCGGUAAUACCCGCCCCCCGAGUGGUGGGGACUAUUACUGGGCUUAAAGCGCCCGUAGCCGGCCGGGUGUGUCCUCCGUUAAAUCCACGGGCCUAACCCGUGGGCUGCGGAGGAUACUACCCGGCUUGGGGGUGGGAGAGGGCGGCGGUAUUCCCGGGGUAGGGGUAAAAUCCUCUGGUCCCGGGAGGACCACCAGUGGCGAAGGCGGCCGCCCAGAACACGCCCGACGGUGAGGGGCGAAAGCUGGGGGAGCAAACGGGAUUCCCUACCCCGGUAGUCCCAGCUGUAAACGAUGCGGGCUAGGUGUCGGGUGGGCUACGGGCCCACCCGGUGCCGAAGGGAAACCAUUAAGCCCGCCGCCUGGGGAGUACGGCCGCAAGGCUGAAACUUAAAGGAAUUGGCGGGGGAGCACCACAAGGGGUGGAGCGUUGCGGCUUAAUUGGAGCAACGCCGGAAAU